rnacentral:rRNA from 1 species
UCCGUAGGGUGAACCUGCGGAAGGAUCAUUACCUAGAGUUUGUGGGCUUUGCCCGCUACCUCUUACCCAUGUCUUUUGAGUACUUACGUUUCCUCGGCGGGUCCGCCCGCCGAUUGGACAAAAUCAAACCCUUUGCAGUUGCAAUCAGCGUCUGAAAAACAUAAUAGUUACAACUUUCAACAACGGAUCUCUUGGUUCUGGCAUCGAUGAAGAACGCAGCGAAAUGCGAUAAGUAGUGUGAAUUGCAGAAUUCAGUGAAUCAUCGAAUCUUUGAACGCACAUUGCGCCCCUUGGUAUUCCAUGGGGCAUGCCUGUUCGAGCGUCAUUUGUACCUUCAAGCUUUGCUUGGUGUUGGGUGUUUGUCUCGCCUCUGCGUGUAGACUCGCCUUAAAACAAUUGGCAGCCGGCGUAUUGAUUUCGGAGCGCAGUACAUCUCGCGCUUUGCACUCAUAACGACGACGUCCAAAAGUACAUUUUUACACUCUUGACCUCGGAUCAGGUAGGGAUACCCGCUGAACUUAAGCAUAUCAAUAAGGCGG